GAAACACAGGCCGCUGGAUGUCAAGAGGAACACACCAGCGGAAGAACACACAAGCGUCUGGAUGUUCAGUGGCACACACCGCGGAAGGACACACGGGCAGACACAAGCAGACGCCACCAGGCCAUCGACCGGUGGUACAACAUGGAGUUCCGCCGAGGGUGGACAAAGGAGAGCCCAGCUGCUGAGCGGCCUGACUCCAGUUCCAGAGUUUGAAUGUAUUUCUUUACAUGAAGAGGACCUAGGGAUGAAAAAGUGAAUUCAGUUUUGUUUUAUAAUUUCUCACCUCUCAGCACAUCAGAAGUAAAUAUUGGCCCUGCACACUUGGAUCCUUCUAAGCAGUGGAUGCUUCUGUCAGGCUGAGACUAAGGUAAAUAGUGGCUGAUUUUCAGAGACUAACCUUCAGCUGUUAGAUGAAUGAGAGACAUUGUCACCCACAAAAUCACAACUACAUGGGCUCUAGGCUAUUUUUGUCAAUGGCUGUAAAUGCCUCUUUUCCUUAAAUUGAAGUCAAAGAAUCUAAGGCACCUCCCUAAUGUCUGUCAUUUGUUUUAUUUUUCUGUCUUACGGAGAUCAAACUUUUGGUUAUUUGGAGAAUUGGAGAAAAAGAGGCCCUUUCUGUUAUAAUGGAAAAUAACUUACUGGUAACAGGAAUAAUCUCAAUGAUUUUAUGACUUCAUGUACAUAGGUAAAUAUCACUUUGCAUCCUAUAUAAUACAUUUCACAUUUCCAACAGUGAAAAGGAUUUUUAAUGAAAAGUUUUUUCCCAGCUGUCUUUGGACCGAAUAUGAAGCCCAGGAAAUUUCCAAAAUGAGGUAUUCUGAACAUUUUAUAUAGUUAAAUAAAAACAUUCCAUGACCUUUGUUGAUCAUAAAGUCUUAGGAAUCUAUGACUCUUAGAUUCUUGAUAGCAUCUGGGUUGUUCUGGGUUUGCUGAUGUUCAGGUUGUCUCUGAAUUACAUGGUGUGCUGAGAAUGACACCCUCUUGGAUUUGAACUUGGAAAAUUAGUAGCAAACUUAACUGUUAUCCUCAUAUCUAGAUGAAGGUUCUGCAAUAGUUACAGUGAUUGCUUUAAGGCUACAUAAGGUACUUCAUUAUAUGCAGUGGCCUUGUGAAAUUUACAGGAUUUUUUCACUUGCUGAAACAUAUCAUGUUGAAGUUUAAUUCCCUUCAGGCCAGUAAAUAUUUAUUGAGGGCCCACUCAGAAUAUUUGAAGAUGGUAAACCAAUCUUGUCAGAAUAUGUAAACAUAUAUUCCUGUAACUGAGUUUUUUUCUGAAAUACAUCAAUAUAAUCCCAAUACCAAUUGUUUUAUAAGACAGAGGGAGAAGAGAGAAGGGGAUGAUGUGGAAAACUGCUAUUUAAAAUUUUUUUUUAAAUCAGAAAUUUAGAUGAUGCUCUCAGAAUUGCUUUCAUGAUAGUCUAAGGCUUAUGGUGAUCAGAGACACUAUUGGAAAUUGUCCACAGAAAUUAGUUGAUAAUGCUAUUUAAAAAUUAGACUUAUUUUGUUCUUGAAUAAAAAAUACUGACCUAUGCAACCAGCCUGGGCAAUAUAGUGUGACCUCUAUCUCAAAAAAAAAGAAAUUAAAAAUAAUAAUCAAAAAA